UUCACACAGGGGAGUUUGAUCCUGGCUCAGGACGAACGCUGGCGGCGCGCUUAACACAUGCAAGUCGAGCGAGAACCAGACCUUCGGGUCCGGGGAAAGCGGCGAACGGGUGAGUAACACGUGGGCAACCCACCCUUGGUACCGGGAUAGCCCGGGGAAACCCGGAUUAAUACCGGAUGGCCCAACAGCUCUUUGGGGCGGUUGGAAAAGAUAGCUUCGUCGCC
rnacentral:rRNA from 1 species